rnacentral:rRNA from 1 species
GUAGAGAUCGGAACGCUAGUUUCGAUGGAGGCAUUGGUGGGAUACUACCCUAGCUGUAUGAACACUCUAACCCGCGCCACUGAUCGUGGCGGGAGACAGUGUCAGGUAGGCAGUUUGACUGGGGCGGGCGCCUCCUAAAAUGUAACGGAGGCGCCCAAAGGGUCCCUCAGAAUGGUUGGAAAUCAUUCGCAGAGUGUAAAGGGAGAAGG